rnacentral:rRNA from 1 species
CAUGCAGUCGAGCGGUAGAGAGAAGCUUGCUUCUCUUGAGAGCGGCGGACGGGUGAGUAAUGCCUAGGAAUCUGCCUGGUAGUGGGGGAUAACGUUCGGAAACGGACGCUAAUACCGCAUACGUCCUACGGGAGAAAGCAGGGGACCUUCGGGCCUUGCGCUAUCAGAUGAGCCUAGGUCGGAUUAGCUAGUUGGUGGGGUAAUGGCUCACCAAGGCGACGAUCCGUAACUGGUCUGAGAGGAUGAUCAGUCACACUGGAACUGAGACACGGUCCAGACUCCUACGGGAGGCAGCAGUGGGGAAUAUUGGACAAUGGGCGAAAGCCUGAUCCAGCCAUGCCGCGUGUGUGAAGAAGGUCUUCGGAUUGUAAAGCACUUUAAGUUGGGAGGAAGGGUUGUAGAUUAAUACUCUGCAAUUUUGACGUUACCGACAGAAUAAGCACCGGCUAACUCUGUGCCAGCAGCCGCGGUAAUACAGAGGGUGCAAGCGUUAAUCGGAAUUACUGGGCGUAAAGCGCGCGUAGGUGGUUAGUUAAGUUGGAUGUGAAAUCCCCGGGCUCAACCUGGGAACUGCAUUCAAAACUGACUGACUAGAGUAUGGUAGAGGGUGGUGGAAUUUCCUGUGUAGCGGUGAAAUGCGUAGAUAUAGGAAGGAACACCAGUGGCGAAGGCGACCACCUGGACUGAUACUGACACUGAGGUGCGAAAGCGUGGGGAGCAAACAGGAUUAGAUACCCUGGUAGUCCACGCCGUAAACGAUGUCAACUAGCCGUUGGGAGCCUUGAGCUCUUAGUGGCGCAGCUAACGCAUUAAGUUGACCGCCUGGGGAGUACGGCCGCAAGGUUAAAACUCAAGA